CAAACAUUGAAGUCUGUGUGCCCUUUCUGGCAAAGCUUCAGUGCUAGAAUGAUGAUUUCAGCUUCUGUUUACACUGUAUUCAGCCAUGUGCUGUAUGCACUGCGUGCAUUAUCCUACAUGAUCCCUUGGACAACCCUACAGGAUAGGUGCUCCUGUGUCCGUUUCACAGACUAGGACACUAAGGUUCCCAUAAGUCCUGGCACCUGCAUGCUCACCGAGGCUGUCUCUGCCGCUCAUCUCCUGGGCCCAUUUCACAGAGGAAGACUCUAAAGCUCCUGUAAGUCCUGGCACCCGCCUGCUCGCCAAGAUUGCCUGUGGAUUCUGAGAACAUCAGGUUCUGAAAUGUGGCCUUCGUAACUGUUCUCAGUCCUGAUUCCAAGCAGAGCCUGGCUUGGAUAAAGAUCCCUGUGUCUCAGCACUGCCAAGCGGGGAUGGGCAGCAAAGAGUCUUUAAACUGUGGAAAGACGGGACACGUGACGUGCCUCUCUCUUUGUCCCUUGGGCAGAAAUGUGCUGAGAGAACACUUCCACCUACCUCACAAUGUUGAAUCCUCACCACUACCUGUAACAAACUAGAAGAGCGUCACAGCUUGUCCAGAGAGAAAGCUGAGCCCAUUGUCAAAAUCAGUACUGCAGCCUUUGCUGACUGUGACUAUUUAACAUCUCAACACACUGGGGGAUUAAUUACUUGAACAUUUGGGGGAAUAACAACAACUUGAAACUCAUAUUUUAACCUGUAUGUCAUGAAUAUUAACAAAGACAAAUUUAUAACUGACUUGACUAUUUUGUGUGUUUUUGCUUUUAAGAAACAGUUGGCUUCUGUAGGAAUGAACAAUAAGAAAUAACAAAAUUUAUUUGUUAGUAAAUUUUCCUCCAGUGAAUAUGCAUGCACCAGACUCACUGCAGCAAACUCAGUCGUCUUUGAAGGAUAAAACACAGAAAACCAUUUUGUUGUACAAUGAGAUGAGUUAUUUGAACUUAAGACAUGUUUUUUUUUCAUAAGUUUUUAUGAACUAGGUAUCGCAUGUCCCAUAAGGG
rnacentral:lncRNA from 10 species